UAGUCACCUGCGGAGAAUUAACGCCCAGAGUCGAAGUUGGCCCCCGAAGCUCUUCCGUNUCCCCCCCGGGCCUCCCGGGGAGGUUGCGGGCGGCGAGGGGUGCCUCCGGCCGCACGCCCAUUCUUGUCUACUGACCCGGUUGCCUCGGCGGGCCGCGCCUGCUGUGCUACAGCGGCCGUUCGGGGGGGACGCCUGAGGGGGACUCUUGUUUCCUAGGCCACGCCCCGGGCAGCGCUCGCCGGANGAUUACUCUGGAAAACACACUCUUGAAAGAACAUACCGUCUGAGCGAGCAACGCAAAUCAGUUAAAACUUUCAACAACGGAUCUCUUGGUUCCGGCAUCGAUGAAAGAACGCAGCGAAAUGCGAUAAGUAAUGUGAAUUGCAGAAUUCCGUGAAUCAUCGAAUCUUUGAACGCACAUUGCGCCCCCUGGCAUUCCGGGGGGCAUGCCUGUUCCAGCGUCAUUU
rnacentral:misc_RNA from 1 species